UCUCUCCUUCUCGCCAUCGUUCUUCAUUCCUUCUCUCCUCCAGGCUGUCGUUCUUCGUUCUUUCUCUCCUCCUCGCUGUCUUCCGUCUGUUCCUUUUCCACUCCCGUCCAUAUGCCACGAUGAAGGAGAAAUACUGCAGCUCAUUUAUUUUCCUUCUCUGCUCUGAGGCUGUCAGUGUAAUUUCUGCUUCUCACCCUCUUCGAAGAACAGCUGGGCGGAAUUCUUCUCUCCUUCGGUGGUCCAUGAGCUGAAAUGUGACAGUUUCCACUGCACUUUGGUAGAGGUUUUGCUACUGUAGAAAUUGUGGGAGGUCCUAAUUACCGGGGGAUUCUAUCAAAAUUUUUAUAAAAUGUGUAAUACUUUACAAACUUUAUAAAUUAUAUAUCGAUAAUUUACUUUAAUCUUGGAUUAAUUAAGGCUUAUAGAAUGUGAGUG